GGUCUUUUAGUCAAAAAUGAUGUUAAAUUGCAAAUUUAAAGGUAAAGAUUUUCUUUUAAGGCUU
rnacentral:tRNA from 1 species